rnacentral:rRNA from 1 species
UACGUAGGGUGCAAGCGUUGUCCGGAUUUAUUGGGCGUAAAGAGCUCGUAGGCGGCGUGUCGCGUCGAAAGUGAAAACCAUGGGCUUAACCCGUGGCUUGCUUUCGGUACGGGCAUGCUUGAGUGUGGUAGGGGAGUCUGGAAUUCCUGGUGUAGCGGUGAAAUGCGCAGAUAUCAGGAGGAACACCGGUGGCGAAGGCGGGACUCUGGGCCAUUACUGACGCUGAGGAGCGAAAGCGUGGGGAGCGAACAGGAUUAGAUACCCUGGUAGUCCACGCUGUAAACGUUGGGCGCUAGGUGUGGGGACUGGUUCACGGUUCCUGUGCCGUAGCUAACGCAUUAAGCGCCCCGCCUGGGGAGUACGGCCGCAAGGCUAAA